GGGACAACAGUUGGAAACGACUGCUAAUACCGCAUAAGCGCACAGCUUCGCAUGAAGCAGUGUGAAAAACUCCGGUGGUACAAGAUGGACCCGCGUCUGAUUAGCUGGUUGGUGAGGUAACGGCCCACCAAGGCAACGAUCAGUAGCCGGCCUGAGAGGGUGAACGGCCACAUUGGGACUGAGACACGGCCCAAACUCCUACGGGAGGCAGCAGUGGGGAAUAUUGCACAAUGGGGGAAACCCUGAUGCAGCAACGCCGCGUGAGUGAAGAAGUAUUUCGGUAUGUAAAGCCCUAUCAGCAGGAAAGAAAAUGACGGUACCUGACUAAGAAGCCCCGGCUAACUACGUGCCAGCAGCCGCGGUAAUACGUAGGGGGCAAGCGUUAUCCGGAUUUACUGGGUGUAAAGGGAGCGUAGACGGUUUUGCAAGUCUGAAGUGAAAGCCCGGGGCUUAACCCCGGGACUGCUUUGGAAACUGUAGAACUAGAGUGCAGGAGAGGUAAGUGGAAUUCCUAGUGUAGCGGUGAAAUGCGUAGAUAUUAGGAGGAACACCAGUGGCGAAGGCGGCUUACUGGACUGUAACUGACGUUGAGGCUCGAAGGCGUGGGGAGCAAACAGGAUUAGAUACCCUGGUAGUCCACGCCGUAAACGAUGAUUACUAGGUGUUGGUGGGUAUGACCCAUCGGUGCCGCAG
rnacentral:rRNA from 1 species